GACGAACGCUGGCGGCGUGCCUAACACAUGCAAGUCGAACGGAGUGUUUAUUUAUAAACACUUAGUGGCGAACGGGUGAGUAACGCGUAGACAACCUACCCUCUAGAUGGGGACAACACCGCGAAAGUGGUGCUAAUACCGAAUGUUGUAAUGUUGUUGCAUAAUGAUAUUACUAAAGGUGGCCUCUAUAUAAAAGCUACCGCUAGAAGAUGGGUCUGCGUCUGAUUAGCUAGUUGGUGAGAUAACAGCUAACCAAGGCAAUGAUCAGUAGCCGGUCUGAGAGGAUGAACGGCCACACUGGGACUGAGACACGGCCCAGACUCCUACGGGAGGCAACAGUGGGGAAUCUUCCGCAAUGGACGAAAGUCUGACGGAGCAACGCCGCGUGAGUGAAGAAGGUUUUCGGAUCGUAAAGCUCUGUCUUCAAGGACGAAUGUAGAUAUUGUGAACAAUGAUAUUUAACGACGGUACUUGAGGAGGAAGCCACGGCUAACUACGUGCCAGCCGCCGCGGUAAAAC
rnacentral:rRNA from 1 species